AUCCAGUUGACGAGUCUCAUAUAGGAUGAAACGCGCGUUCCGGAU
rfam:Schistosoma mansoni strain Puerto Rico chromosome 1, complete genome